rnacentral:rRNA from 1 species
CACCACUGACGCUGAGGAGCGAAAGCGUGGGGAGCGAACAGGAUUAGAUACCCUGGUAGUCCACGCCGUAAACGGUGGGCGCUAGAUGUGGGGACCCUUCCAUGGUUUCUGCGUCGCAGCUAACGCAUUAAGCGCCCCGCCUGGGGAGUACGGUCGCAAGACUAAAACUCAAAGGAAUUGACGGGGGCCCGCACAAGCAGCGGAGCAUGCGGCUUAAUUCGAUGCAACGCGAAGAACCUUACCUAGACUUGACAUAUACGGAAAACAUGCAGAGAUGUAUGGUCCUAACGGGCCGUUUACAGGUGGUGCAUGGUUGUCGUCAGCUCGUGUCGUGAGAUGUUGGGUUAAGUCCCGCAACGAGCGCAACCCUCGUUCUAUGUUGCCAGCACGUAAUGGUGGGGACUCAUAGGAGACUGCCGGGGUCAACUCGGAGGAAGGUGGGGAUGACGUCAAAUCAUCAUGCCCCUUAUGUCUAGGGCUGCACGCAUGCUACAAUGGCUGGUACAAAGGGCUGCGAUACCGCAAGGUGGAGCGAAUCCCAAAAAGCCAGUCUCAGUUCGGAUUGGGGUCUGCAACUCGACCCCAUGAAGUUGGAGUUGCUAGUAAUCGCAGAUCAGCAACGCCGCGGUGAAUACGUUCCCGGGCCUUGUACACACCGCCCGUCACGUCACGAAAGUCGGUAACACCCGAAGCC